ACUAAGCGUACACGGUGGAUGCCCUGGCAGUCAGAGGCGAUGAAGGACGUGCUAAUCUGCGAUAAGCGCCGGUAAGGUGAUAUGAACCGUUAUAACCGGCGAUUUCCGAAUGGGGAAACCCAGUGUGAUUCGUCACACUAUCAUUAACUGAAUCCAUAGGUUAAUGAGGCGAACCGGGGGAACUGAAACAUCUAAGUACCCCGAGGAAAAGAAAUCAACCGAGAUUCCCCCAGUAGCGGCGAGCGAACGGGGAGGAGCCCAGAGCCUGAAUCAGCAUGUGUGUUAGUGGAAGCGUCUGGAAAGGCGCGCGAUACAGGGUGACAGCCCCGUACACAAAAGCGCAUGUGUUGUGAGCUCGAUGAGUAGGGCGGGACACGUGGUAUCCUGUCUGAAUAUGGGGGGACCAUCCUCCAAGGCUAAAUACUCCUGACUGACCGAUAGUGAACCAGUACCGUGAGGGAAAGGCGAAAAGAACCCCGGCGAGGGGAGUGAAAAAGAACCUGAAACCGUGUACGUACAAGCAGUGGGAGCNUGAGGGAAAGGCGAAAAGAACCCCGGCGAGGGGAGUGAAAAAGAACCUGAAACCGUGUACGUACAAGCAGUGGGAGCCCCACCACUAAGCCAGUGGUGAACUCCACAUACGCAUCCUUUGCUGAGGAUACGGUUAACGGAGCGCAAGCGACGUUCAACCGCAAAAGAAGCAGAGGGGGCUUAGUGGUGGGGUGACUGCGUACCUUUUGUAUAAUGGGUCAGCGACUUAUAUUCUGUAGCAAGGUUAACCGUAUAGGGGAGCCGGAGGGAAACCGAGUCUUAAUUGGGCGUUAAGUUGCAGGGUAUAGACCCGAAACCCGGUGAUCUAGCCAUGGGCAGGUUNGGGCGUUAAGUUGCAGGGUAUAGACCCGAAACCCGGUGAUCUAGCCAUGGGCAGGUUGAAGGUUGGGUAACACUAACUGGAGGACCGAACCGACUAAUGUUGAAAAAUUAGCGGAUGACCUGUGGCUGGGGGUGAAAGGCCAAUCAAACCGGGAGAUAGCUGGUUCUCCCCGAAAGCUAUUUAGGUAGCGCCUCGUGAAUUCAUCUCCGGGGGUAGAGCACUGUUUCGGCUAGGGGGCCAUCCCGGCUUACCAACCCGAUGCAAACUGCGAAUACCGGAGAAUGUUAUCACGGGAGACACACGGCGGGUGCUAACGUCCGUCGUGAAGAGGGAAACAACCCAGACCGCCAGCUAAGGUCCCAAAGUCAUGGUUAAGUGGGAAACGAUGUGGGAAGGCCCAGACAGCCAGGAUGUUGGCUUAGAAGCAGCCAUCAUUUAAAGAAAGCGUAAUAGCUCACUGGUCGAGUCGGCCUGCGCGGAAGAUGUAACGGGGCUAAACCAUGCACCGAAGCUGCGGCAGCGAGUAAUAGCUCACUGGUCGAGUCGGCCUGCGCGGAAGAUGUAACGGGGCUAAACCAUGCACCGAAGCUGCGGCAGCGAACGUAUCACUUAAAGCGAUUCAGCGGGUUACGAUUGACGGAGCGAAGCGACGUCAAAGCGUAUACAAAGUCGAGUCGGUUUAAGGAUACGUUCGUUGGGUAGGGGAGCGUUCUGUAAGCCUGUGAAGGUGGCCUGUGAGGGUUGCUGGAGGUAUCAGAAGUGCGAAUGCUNGUUGGGUAGGGGAGCGUUCUGUAAGCCUGUGAAGGUGGCCUGUGAGGGUUGCUGGAGGUAUCAGAAGUGCGAAUGCUGACAUAAGUAACGAUAAAGCGGGUGAAAAGCCCGCUCGCCGGAAGACCAAGGGUUCCUGUCCAACGUUAAUCGGGGCAGGGUGAGUCGACCCCUAAGGCGAGGCCGAAAGGCGUAGUCGAUGGGAAACGGGUUAAUAUUCCCGUACUUGGUGUUACUGCGAAGGGGGGACGGAGAAGGCUAUGUUGGCCGGGCGACGGUUGUCCCGGUUUAAGCGUGUAGGUGUGUGUUCCAGGUAAAUCCGGUUCACUUUAACACUGAGGCGUGAUGACGAGGCACUACGGUGCUGAAGCAACAAAUGCCCUGCUUCCAGGAAAAGCCUCUAAGCAUCAGGUAACAUCAAAUCGUACCCCAAACCGACACAGGUGGUCAGGUAGAGAAUACCAAGGCGCUUGAGAGAACUCGGGUGAAGGAACUAGGCAAAAUGGUGCCGUAACUUCGGGAGAAGGCACGCUGACAUGUAGGUGAAGUGAUUUACUCAUGGAGCUGAAGUCAGUCGAAGAUACCAGCUGGCUGCAACUGUUUAUUAAAAACACAGCACUGUGCAAACACGAAAGUGGACGUAUACGGUGUGACGCCUGCCCGGUGCCGGAAGGUUAAUUGAUGGGGUCAGCGCAAGCGAAGCUCCUGAUCGAAGCCCCGGUAAACGGCGGCCGUAACUAUAACGGUCCUAAGGUAGCGAAAUUCCUUGUCGGGUAAGUUCCGACCUGCACGAAUGGCGUAAUGAUGGCCAGGCUGUCUCCACCCGAGACUCAGUGAAAUUGAACUCGCUGUGAAGAUGCAGUGUACCCGCGGCAAGACGGAAAGACCCCGUGAACCUUUACUAUAGCUUGACACUGAACAUUGAGCCUUGAUGUGUAGGAUAGGUGGGAGGCUUUGAAGUGUGGACGCCAGUCUGCAUGGAGCCGACCUUGAAAUACCACCCUUUAAUGUUUGAUGUUCUAACGUGGACCCGUAAUCCGGGUUGCGGACAGUGUCUGGUGGGUAGUUUGACUGGGGCGGUCUCCUCCUAAAGAGUAACGGAGGAGCACGAAGGUUGGCUAAUCCUGGUCGGACAUCAGGAGGUUAGUGCAAUGGCAUAAGCCAGCUUGACUGCGAGCGUGACGGCGCGAGCAGGUGCGAAAGCAGGUCAUAGUGAUCCGGUGGUUCUGAAUGGAAGGGCCAUCGCUCAACGGAUAAAAGGUACUCCGGGGAUAACAGGCUGAUACCGCCCAAGAGUUCAUAUCGACGGCGGUGUUUGGCACCUCGAUGUCGGCUCAUCACAUCCUGGGGCUGAAGUAGGUCCCAAGGGUAUGGCUGUUCGCCAUUUAAAGUGGUACGCGAGCUGGGUUUAGAACGUCGUGAGACAGUUCGGUCCCUAUCUGCCGUGGGCGCUGGAGAACUGAGGGGGGCUGCUCCUAGUACGAGAGGACCGGAGUGGACGCAUCACUGGUGUUCGGGUUGUCAUGCCAAUGGCACUGCCCGGUAGCUAAAUGCGGAAGAGAUAAGUGCUGAAAGCAUCUAAGCACGAAACUUGCCCCGAGAUGAGUUCUCCCUGAGACUUAAAGUCUCCUGAAGGAACGUUGAAGACGACGACGUUGAUAGGCCGGGUGUGUAAGCGCAGCGAUGCGUUGAGCUAACCGGUACUAAUGAACCGUGAGGCUUAACC
rnacentral:rRNA from 1 species